GUUAUUUCAUUCCGGGCCUACCCAGGUUACCACUAAACCCCCCGUCCUGUUGCUCACUCAACACUGGAGAUGGGGGGGGGAUCCCCUGUUGCCUCCCUGUACUUAAGCCGACCCCUAGGGACACUAAGAAGGUAUAUCUGCAUUCCUAACUCGAAAGGGGGAUUACCUCUUCUCUUCCUCUGUCUGCACUACACUCUUUAGGGGGCUUAUCCAGUUUUUAUGCCUGUUUCUAUAUACCCCCUGGGUGCACAAUGCUUAUUUCAGGUGGUGCAGGAGUGGUGACCAAUGGCCCCUUCUAAGGCAAGGAGUGAGGCAAGGGUUGGGUCACAUAGAUUGCAG